UACCUCCACCGAUCGAUAUCUUCUCGGUUCUUCUGAUUUUUCUUCAUCUAAUUUCUUCUGCUUCAUUCUGCCAUCCAUACCCUUCACCGCCUUUCUCUUCUCGCUGCUUCGCACCGCUUUGGAAAUGCCUUCCAUUUGUGUUGUUCUUCAUUUGGUAAUUAAGUGUAUCAAACUUUACAAAAUGCUAUUUGUAAUAAUGUUGCUCCACUGACAACGAAACGAUGUCUUUGCUUUUGUAAAGAUUCAAUGAUAAUUGUCAUAAUUGUUGAGAAAUAUUAAUUCUAAUAAAGGUCACAAGGUUGGAUUGCAGAAUUGGUAAGGUGCUUGGUGUGCUAUUUGAGAGUGGUUAUUUGAUAUUAUAUAAUAUAUUAAUUUACAACCCCUUUGUGAACAAUAUCUCUUCCCUAUUUGACCAACAUCAAUUUUAUUUUUCUUUUCUUUUUCAAUCGGUGGGUUUUCUUUCCCAAUUGCUAUUUAUAUGUGUUGUUCCACCGUUUUCUUGACGAAUCCCUUCCAUCCAAAUUUUACUACCUCCACCGAUCGAUAUCUUCUCAGUUCUUCUGAUUUUUCUUCAUCUGAUUUCUUCUACUUCAUUCUGCCAUCCAUACCCCUCGUCCAUCUUUUAUUCGUCUUCUACAUCUACCGAAAAGGGGCGCCGGCCAACCCAUUUAGGUUAAUCGUCUUUUACUGUUGGAGUUGAUUCCCAAGAAAAGCAUUAAGCUGAAGAAGGGGGGAAGGGGGAUGGGGGGUGGGGAGGACUCUGCAACUUUUGGUGGUCCUGAUGUGCUCCAAUGGUUGUGGGAUUCCAAAAGAAGGUUUCGGGUUCUACAAUUUUAUUUGGGUUUAAUUUCGAAUUCCAUAUAAAGCUCCUACCCACGUUUGUUUUCUUCUUUUGCUGUCGCCUGUCUUAAUUGUUGGCUGGUCAUAUUUGAUCUAACAAUCGUCAUGGAAUGUGAGUUAUGUAAAAUCUAUACUACCACUCUCAAUCUCAUUUAUUUAUGGUAUUAUUGAGAAUGGUAUGCCCUUCUUGGUCUCAUGUAUGUUAUUGCCCCCAACUCCAAAAGUUACUGACCCUGCUUUGAUAUUGCAGCAUCAUUCUCCAAGAAAAUGAUUCAGUUAUACCCCCACCCAAUUAAGGUUGACAUUUGAAAGAAAGUUUGAUAAAGCACUCCAACAGCUCGAUGAAUGUCACUGAUUUGGUUUUGAUAUUUUUUUUAUACAUAGCUUUAUCAGAUAGCAUCAACCAUCAUGGUUGAUGAAGAAGCAAAGCCUCUCAAUUAUGUGUCAGAAGUUGUAUUGAAGAAGAGGAAAAGCAAUGAAGACUGGGCAAAUAGAAUUAAAUAACAGUUGGAGCAAAGGGUGAAAAAGUCUACUUUUAGUUUACUCAUUUUGUUCUUGAUAUUGGUAAAUAGAGAUGACAUAAGGAUGCCUUUUGGUCAAAUGUAAUUACAAAACUACAUAUGUUUAUCUUCUUUGAUGUUUGAAAUUUUUUGAAAUGUAACAUUGUUUUGUUUCAUUUUAUGCAAUCUCUGCUCUGAAUGUUAUGUAUUAGAGUUUAAAUUCACCAGGAUGGUUGACCAAAUAGACCUCAAAUGGUGGCGUUCCUUGUAAAGAUCAUUGGAAAGGUGUUACAUGUUCAGCUUUAGGCACUGAUGUUAUGAACUUCAUCCACCAACCCAUUAUUUUCAUUCAAUGAUUCGUAAAAAAAAAGUUUCCAAUUUUCAUAAAGUUUAAUUUCCAUAAAUUAAUAAAAAAAACCUUUGUUAACUUUCAUGAAGUUUAUCAUAUGGUUUUUUUUUGUGUUUUUUUUCUAAUACCAUUCUACAGAUCUUUUAUUAUGUAUAAUUAAAUUCUAAUGUAGUAUAAAAAAAACAACAUUUUAAAGGUUUAUGAUGGAAGCAAAAAUAUCAUGUACACUUAUUUAUGUAAUUUUCUAAAAUUACAGUUAAUUUUUUUUUUUCAUUCUAAUGGUUUUUUUUCUCUUGAUUUAGAUUUUUUUUUCUGGUGCUAAUCUGGUAGUGGUGCUAAUGCAAGAAGGACCGACACAUAUUUUCCUUGUGUGUAAAACCUCUUUUAUUUUUUUUUACAUCAGUGUUAGAUAUGUAAUCGGCUAUGACAAAGUAUGUAACAAGGUUACUUAAAUUUUCAAGGUUAACUCAUUGUUCUUAAAUUAUUUAAGUUAACAUUGAUUGUUUUGGAUUACAGGCUUUGAAUAACUUCGAUGAGAAUAUCGUGCAAGCAUUUGUCAAGCAUAUGGACUUCAAGGUUGUUCGAUGUGCUGUAAAAUGGACUUCCAAGAUCCAAUAAGGAUCAAUUUCAUUGCCAUUUAAUCUUGGAAGUUGAUCUUGCUUACAUCAACUUUAUGUAUCAAUUUGGAGUUAAAAGUUUAGUAUCAAAUACAAAGCUUUGAGGAAAUUGAUAUGCAUGUAGUUACAUCUUUUGAUUGCCUUUUGGUUCGGGAA